rnacentral:sRNA from 1 species
AACUUUUGCUGGUUUCUAUUUAGCUACUAAUUAGAUGAUUCUUUUUACUUUUCUCAUUUCAGGUAGGUUUAUUAGCAUCUCCAGGGACAGUUGAAAGCCUCGUUGAUCAUUUUCGUUGGAUUUUUGGCCGCUUUGCAGGUGAGUGUAUAUUCUUUUUACUUUUCUCGUUUCAGGUAGGUUUAUUAGCGCAUCCAGGGACAUUUGAAAGCAUUGCUGAUCAUCUUCGUUGGAUUUUUGGCCGCUUAGCAGGUAGGUUUAUUAGCAUCUCCAGGGACAGUUGAAAGCCUCGUUGAUCAUUUUCGUUGGAUUUUUGGCCGCUUUGCAGGUAGGUUUAUUAGCGCAUCCAGGGACAGUUAAAAGCAUCGUUGAU